UAUAACUGCAGUAAUCCUAGUUUUUGUGGUAGAAAAAUUUUGUUUUUGCUACCCCAUAUUCCUACAAACCGGCCCUUUGAUGUGUAUUGUGAUGCAUCAGGUACGGGUCUCGGCUAUGUUCUCAUCCUUGUUUGUCUUCGUCGGAGAUUAUUCGGCCAUUAAUACUUGUUGUGAUGCAUCAGGUACGGGUCUAGGCUGCGUCCUUAUGCAGAAUCAGUGAGUGAUUGCUUAUGCCUCCAGAGCACUCCGCCGGCAUGAGGAAAAUUAUGCCACCCAUGAUUUGGAGCUAGCAGCAGUGGUGCAUGCAUUAAAGAUCUGGCGUCAUUAUCUUCUGGGCAAUCAUGUUCAUAUAUACUCAGACCACAAGAGUCUUAAGUAUAUUUUCACCCAGAGCGAGCUGAAUUUGCGUCAGAGACGGUGGUUAGAGCUAAUUAAGGAUUAUGAUCUGGAGAUUCACUAUCACUCGAGCAAGACAAAUGUUGUCGCCGAUGCAUUGAGUCACAAGGCUAGUUGUAGCUGCGUCUCAGCUACAGUUUUGCAUGAAACUUUGUGCCAAGAAAUGGAGAAGGUGAAUUUGGCCAUUGUAGCUGAGGGUACACUUACCCACAUUACCCUCACUCCAACACUGAGGGAUCAAAUUAUUGCUGCUCAGAGGAAUAAUAUUGGCAUGGAAAAGAUUAGGCAAAGGCUUAGAGAAGGUGACCCUUGUGUGGCAUGCUUCCAGCUAGACGGCAAGGGUGUUUUAUGGUUUAAGAACUGGUUAGUGGUACCUAAGGAUUUUGAGCUACAAAAAUUAAUUCUUGAUGAAGCUCAUCUCUCUAGGUAUUCAAUUCACCCGGGCAGCAACAAAAUGUAUCAAGACUUGAAACAACGGUUCUGGUGGACACGGAUGAAGCGGGAGAUCACUAACUAUGUUUCUGAGUGUGACAUUUGUCGAAGGGUUAAAGCGAGUCAUUUCAAACCCGCUGAUAUGCUUCAGCCUUUGGAUAUUCCUUCAUGGAAGUGGGAGGAUAUUAGUAUGAACUUCAUUGUUCGCUUGCCUGCCACCUCAAAGGGAUAUGAUUCUAUUUGGGUUAUAGUUGACCGUCUCACUAAAUCUGCUCAUUUUCUUCCCGUGAAGACACGUUAUUCGUCCCAUCAACAUGCAGAGAUUUAUAUGGCCCGCAUUGUGAGUCUUCAUGGUGUACCCAAGAUGAUCAUAUCGGAUAGAGGCUCACAAUUCGUUGUGCAUUUCUGGAAACAAUUGCAAGCAUCCCUGGGUGCUCAACUUAUUCGUAGCUCAGCUUAUCACCCCCAGACUGAUGGUCAGACUGAGCGAAUUAAUCAAAUCCUGGAGGAAAUGCUUAGAGCCUGUGCGCUCUCCUAUGGUAAGAAAUAGGAUGAGUGCUUCCCUCUGGCGAAAUUCUCUUAUAAUAAUAGCUAUCAAGAAACCAUCAAGAUGGCUCCAUUUGAGGCAUUAUAUGGGCGAAGGUGUAGAACCCCAUCGAAUUGGUCAGAAGCCAGCGAAAGAAAUGUUUUUGGACCUGAUUUGGUGAGUGAAGCUGAAGAACAAGUUCAGGUUAUACAGAAGAAUUUAAAAAUCGCCCAAUCACGGUAGAAAAGCUAUGCAGACAAGAGACGUCGGGCCCUGAUAUUUGAAGUGGGGGGUCAGGUUUAUCUUCGGGUAUCUCCGAUGAAGGGUGUCCAGCGGUUCGGUGUGAGAGGAAAUUAGCACCUCGCUAUGUUGGGCCAUAUCCUAUUAUUGAACGUUGUGGGCCGGUAGCAUAUCGAGUGAAGCUUCCAUCACAUCUAUCGGUAGUUCAUAAUAUUUUUCAUGUUUCCCAACUCAAGAAAUGCCUCCGAGUUCCGACUGAGAUGGUUGACAUGGAAGGUUUACAGUUGGAGCCUGAUCUUGUCUAUCCAGAGCAUCCUAUCAAAAUUGUGGACCACAAGACUCGGGUUACUCGGAACCAAGUUAGCAAUUUCUAUAAAGUGCAAUGGAGCAAUCACUCCAAGCGGGAAGCUACUUAGAAAACGGAGGAAUUUAUUCAGUCCAAAUGUCCUGAGUUGCUCCAAACAUACCAAGGACACUCGGACGUGGAUUUCUGCCCCUGCUGUGUCAAAUUUAUCCGCCGUGAUGCAGAGGGAUGGGAAGUGGUGGAUCGGGAUCCGUAGGCUAGGAGUUUGUUGAGUUGCACACUUGCGGACUGAGAGUGCAACCUGUCUGUUUUGGUUGGACCGGUCUGACCGGUGGCUUCGUGGGGGUCUCCAUACAGACCGCUCUGACCGGUUAGAUGAACCGGUCUGACCGGUUGUGUAGUGGCUGAACACUAAAAUAGUUGUAGGUUGUUUUCCGUUUAAACUGGACUACCCUAUUGUAACAUUGUAAAUUGUUGAGUUAUGUAAAUUUUGUAAAAUUCUUGUA